rnacentral:rRNA from 1 species
UAUACGACCGUACCGCAAACCGACACUGGUGCGCGAGAUGAGUAUUCUAAGGCGCUUGAGAGAACUCAGGAGAAGGAACUCGGCAAAUUGACACCGUAACUUCGGAAGAAGGUGUGCCCUAUUAGUGUGUAGUGAACAACGAAGCAUGAAUGGGUUGCAAAAAAUCGGUGGCUGCGACUGUUUAUUAAAAACACAGCACUCUGCAAACACGAAAGUGGACGUAUAGGGUGUGACGCCUGCCCGGUGCUGGAAGAUUAAAUGAUGGGGUGCAAGCUCUUGAUUGAAGUCCCAGUAAACGGCGGCCGUAACAAUAACGGUCCUAAGGUAGCGAAAUUCCUUGUCGGGUAAGUUCCGACCUGCACGAAUGGCGUAACGAUGGCCACACUGUCUCCUCCUGAGACUCAGCGAAGUUGAAAUGUUUGUGAUGAUGCAAUCUCCCCGCGGAAAGACGGAAAGACCCCAUGAACCUUUACUGUAGCUUUGUAUUGGACUUUGAACAGAUCUGUGUAGGAUAGGUGGGAGGCUUUGAAGCAGGGUCGCUAGAUCUUGUGGAGCCAACGUUGAAAUACCACCCUGGUGUGUUUGAGGUUCUAACCUAGGUCCAUUAUCUGGAUCGGGGACAGUGCAUGGUAGGCAGUUUGACUGGGGCGGUCUCCUCCCAAAGCGUAACGGAGGAGUUCGAAGGUACGCUAGUUACGGUCGGACAUCGUGACGAUAGUGCAAUGGCAUAAGCGUGCUUAACUGCGAGACUGACAAGUCGAGCAGAUGCGAAAGCAGGACAUAGUGAUCCGGUGGUUCUGUAUGGAAGGGCCAUCGCUCAACGGAUAAAAGGUACUCUGGGGAUAACAGGCUGAUACCGCCCAAGAGUUCAUAUCGACGGCGGUGUUUGGCACCUCGAUGUCGGCUCAUCUCAUCCUGGGGCUGUAGCCGGUCCCAAGGGUAUGGCUGUUCGCCAUUUAAAGAGGUACGUGAGCUGGGUUUAAAACGUCGUGAGACAGUUUGGUCCCUAUCUUCCGUGUCGCUGCAGAUUUGAGGAAGCCUGCUCCUAGUACGAGAGGACCGGAGUGGACACACCUCUGGUGUAUCGGUUGUCACGCCAGUGGCAUUGCCGAGUAGCUAAGUGUGGAAGAGAUAACCGCUGAAAGCAUCUAAGCGGGAAACUCGUUUCAAGAUGAGAUCUGCCGGGGCCUUGAGCCCCCUAAAGAGUCGUUCAAGACCAGGACGUUGAUAGGUCAGGUGUGGAAGCUAA